AGAAAGCCCCGGCUAACUACGUGCCAGCAGCCGCGGUAAUACGUAGGGGGCGAGCGUUGUCCGAAUUUACUGGGCGUAAAGCGCGUGUAGGCGGCUCUUUAAGUCAGUUGUGAAAUCUUGCGGCUCAACCGCAAAACUGCAUCUGAAACUGGAGGGCUUGAGUUUGGGAGAGGAGAGUGGAAUUCCUGGUGUAGCGGUGAAAUGCGUAGAUAUCAGGAGGAACACCCGUGGCGAAGGCGGCUCUCUGGCCCAACACUGACGCUGAGACGCGAAAGCUAGGGGAGCGAACGGGAUUAGAUACCCCGGUAGUCCUAGCCGUAAACGAUGGAUACUAGGUGUUAGUGGUAUCGACCCCACUAGUGCCGUAGCUAACGCA
rnacentral:rRNA from 1 species